UGGGGAAUUUUGGACAAUGGGGGCAACCCUGAUCCAGCAAUGCCGCGUGAGUGAAGAAGGCCUUCGGGUUGUAAAGCUCUUUUGUCAGGGAAGAAACACCGGCUCUAACACAGUCCGGGAAUGACGGUACCUGAAGAAUAAGCACCGGCUAACUACGUGCCAGCAGCCGCGGUAAUACGUAGGGUGCGAGCGUUAAUCGGAAUUACUGGGCGUAAAGCGUGCGCAGGCGGUUAUACAAGACAGGCGUGAAAUCCCCGGGCUUAACCUGGGAAUGGCGCCUGUGACUGUAUAGCUAGAGUGUGUCAGAGGGGGGUAGAAUUCCACGUGUAGCAGUGAAAUGCGUAGAUAUGUGGAGGAAUACCAAUGGCGAAGGCAGCCCCCUGGGAUAACACUGACGCUCAUGCACGAAAGCGUGGGGAGCAAACAGGAUUAGAUACCCUGGUAGUCCACGCCCUAAACGAUGCUGACUAGUUGUUCGGGAUUUACAUCCUGAGUAACGUAGCUAACGCGUGAAGUCAGCCGCCUGGGGAGUACGGUCGCAAGAUUA
rnacentral:rRNA from 1 species